AUUGAACGCUGGCGGCAGGCCUAACACAUGCAAGUCGAACGGUAACAGGAAGAAGCUUGCUUCUUUGCUGACGAGUGGCGGACGGGUGAGUAAUGUCUGGGCAACUGCCUGAUGGAGGGGGAUAACUACUGGAAACGGUAGCUAAUACCGCAUAACGUCGCAAGACCAAAGAGGGGGACCUUCGGGCCUCUUGCCAUCGGCUGUGCCCAGAUGGGAUUAGCUAGUAGGUGGGGUAACGGCUCACCUAGGCGACGAUCCCUAGCUGGUCUGAGAGGAUGACCAGCCACACUGGAACUGAGACACGGUCCAGACUCCUACGGGAGGCAGCAGUGGGGAAUAUUGCACAAUGGGCGCAAGCCUGAUGCAGCCAUGCCGCGUGUAUGAAGAAGGCCUUCGGGUUGUAAAGUACUUUCAGCGGGGAGGAAGGGAGUAAAGUUAAUACCUUUACUCAUUGACGUUACCCGCAGAAGAAGCACCGGCUAACUCCGUG
rnacentral:rRNA from 1 species